AGCGAACGCUGGCGGCAGGCUUAACACAUGCAAGUCGAGCGGGCAUCCUUGUGGUGUCAGCGGCAGACGGGUGAGUAACGCGUGGGAAUGUGCCCUUCGGUUCGGAAUAACUCAGGGAAACUUGAGCUAAUACCGGAUACGUGCGAGAGCAGAAAGGUUUAUCUGCCGAAGGAUCGGCCCGCGUCUGAUUAGCUAGUUGGUGAGGUUAUGGCUCACCAAGGCGACGAUCAGUAGCUGGUCUGAGAGGAUGAUCAGCCACACUGGGACUGAGACACGGCCCAGACUCCUACGGGAGGCAGCAGUGGGGAAUAUUGGACAAUGGGGGCAACCCUGAUCCAGCCAUGCCGCGUGAGUGAUGACGGCCUUAGGGUUGUAAAGCUCUUUUCUCCGGGACGAUAAUGACGGUACCGGAGGAAUAAGCCCCGGCUAACUUCGUG
rnacentral:rRNA from 1 species